GAAGGUGAAAACAGAUAGUUUCCAUCUGCAACAGGACGCCGGGACGAUUUGGGUCUUUUAAGGAAAACUAUUUAAAAAAAAAAAGUG